rnacentral:rRNA from 1 species
UACGGGGGGGGCAAGCGUUGUUCGGAAUUACUGGGCGUAAAGGGCGCGUAGGCGGCCUGCUAAGUCGGACGUGAAAUCCCUCGGCUCAACCGGGGAACUGCGUCCGAUACUGGCGAGGCUUGAAUCCGGGAGAGGGAUGUGGAAUUCCAGGUGUAGCGGUGAAAUGCGUAGAUAUCAGGAGGAACACCGGUGGCGAAGGCGGCCCUCUGGACGAGUACUGACGCUGAGGCGCGAAAGCGUGGGGAUCAAACAGG